UGAGUAGACCUGUCCACGGCCUUCAGAAUAAGACCGUUUAUGCGGCACUCAGUCCAUUAAAUAGAAAAUUGUCUUCACUUUGAAUGCUGAAAGCGUGGA
rfam:Loxodonta africana unplaced genomic scaffold scaffold_5, whole genome shotgun sequence.